ACACGUUUAUAAUAUUUUUAUACUAAUGCAUUUUAUAUAUAUAUAAUUUAUAUAUAUAAAAACACAUGUGUGUAUAAAAGAACGAACUGUGGGUGAGGGCACUGGCGGGCCCUCUUUUUGCUUAGACAAUAACACUACGUUGAGUAGAAAGCGGGAGGGAAAACAAUGCGUACAGUAUAGUUGUGUACAUCUAAACGCUGCUGAUAUCGGUUCGGGCUUGGUCGAACAGUACCAGCUGUUAUACGUUUCCAGGUACAAACAGCCCAAGAAUUCAUCGAGAGAUGGCGGAUAGCGACGCUGAUCCGUCGCAGGUUCCUAAUUUGUUACGGACUGAGCGACAAGUUUUUACAAGGUCACCCUUUCAACCGCUGACCUUGGACAAUCUGAUCAAGUUCAUAAAGCAAUCCUCCUACCUGUAUGAUUCCACGAAUCCGCUGUUUGCUUCAUCCCAAAUACGAGUUGCUCGCUGGCAUGAAAUUGGCGGUUAUUUCGGCACCUCUGGCGAGACGAUAGUUCGACACUGGUUGAAAACCCUUUUCCACUACAAAUACGUGCUCAGGAAAUUGCUUAUAGCUAAACUUCGGAACGAACCUCAAAUGACCGUACCUGGUCCGUGGUUCGACAAGGUCGGUUCUAUUAUAGGGGUGACCUUCGAUCAAGCAAUGGCCGAAAUUGAUCCUCGUGAAGGUCUAGAGGAUUGCCUCCAUAGGGUAUUACUGCCGUCCCAUAAUUUGAAACUGGAAGGAUUUGAUGAAGCCUCUUUUGAAGGAUGAAGAACAUAGCAAAGUACGAAGAAGAAAAUGUUGGAAAAUGCAGAGCCGAGAACUGUCUUCAAUAGAAAUAAUUGGCAAAAAACUACUCAUAUUUGUAGGUAGCAGUGUUGAUGUUAUUGAAAGUGAACAUUAAUAUUAUUUAUUAGGGGGCUUUUGUAACUUCUGUGCAUUAUUAUAAUAAUGAGUUUUCAUGAAUAACAAUAUAGGGGAGUAGUCGUUGGAGUGACCGGUGGACCCAAAAGUAUGUUGAGUAAACUAGCUUAGCUUUUUAAUAAUACGUAAAUUCAUAGACCACCUAAAGAGGUAACAUAUACUCAACGAAUAAAAUGAGUCAUUUAGGUUAAUAUUAUUCAAUUUGUGCAAUUAUCUUGUCAAGGUUAUAAUGGUUGUUUGUGCUCUCGUUUGUGUAUCAUUCAGUUAUAUACUGUAAGAGGUUUUUAAAAUUGCAUAUUAGACAGUAGCCAUGUCUAUAAUAGGAACAUCUGAUCAUAAUGGUCAAUAAUAUCUUUCUAGAACUAUGUUAUAUAUGAGAGUGGAAGACUUUGUUGAAAUUUUCUCAUGGCUGUUUUUGCCUAUUGAUUAAUAGUGGCGUUUGUAAAACAUACGUUUGAAACAACGCUAAAUAUUGUGUCGGCAACAAGAAAUUGCCUAUAUCUGUAAAGUAACACGUAUCAUACCGAAGGAUUGUCCAGAAAAUGCAGAAGAAGUAUAUUCUGGAGUUUGAACUUCGGAAAUACUAGGAUAGGUGCUAAGUGCAUAUUUGUCUCUGUUAGGUCAAAUGGACUGUAUGAAACAAUUUUUUUGUCUAGCUGAGGUAGGUCAGUCGUGGUGACUCUUCAUUUUACCUGUAUAUAUAAUGAUGAAGUUUUUGCACUUCUCCUUUCAUAUUGUCCUGUAAAACACAGCACGAUGUAAAUAAAAGCUACAACUAUUUAAUGAACAACUUCACAGUGACUAUAAUGUCAAGUCAUAUGAAAAUUUGAAGCGGCCGAUCCCAUUAUAAUUUUGUGUACUAUCCACAGAUCAACAAGGUCACAAAAGUUCCGACGCAAAGAAACGCAUAAAUAGAAAACGGUAUUAUGAACCUUCAUCAAAAACUGGAACGAUUGGUCAUGCACCCAUUGCGAGUCGAAAAGCAGUAACAACAGAUGAUAGGAUAAGCUUGGGCAAUGUUGUUCCAUAAAAAUUACAAAAUGAGCAAUAAUGACGGCCUAUUUUCCAAUAUAUUUGAUAGGUGGUAGUCUUUGUGUUUUCCUUCACUUAAUCAUCCUAUCAGUCGAAAUAUGUUACGUCAUAGCUGUCCUCAUGACUAUACAGUUCUAAAACACUGCGAAGUAUUAGACAUGUAAUUAGCUUUGUUGCGAUAUUUUGCGACACUGGAUAGCGCUUUUAACUUCGAAGACAGUGCACCAGACAAUGUAAGUCUUACGACUAAUAAAUGGUAUAUGUAAAAGACAGAUAGCACUACACCCAUAUUUGACUGUACAACGCAUUUAAAAUAAUUAUACUUUCCAUGGGUACACGACACAUAUUUGCUUCUGCGACGAACAUUGAAGAUUUGUCUAACUUGUAGUGUGAAUAUGUCACAAUGUACGAGACGGGAAAGAGAUUAUAUUAAGUAUUAUAACAAUAUAGUUCGUAGGAAGCAUGUAGCAUACAGAACCGCUUAAUUUAAAAUGCGCCAAUUUUCAAACAUUCUUAUGAUGUUAAAUAACUUAAUUCUAUGAAAAUGUUAUUUUAACUGUUCCUUAGACCCGACGUUAAUAUUCUUCCUAAUAAAGAAAUACCGAAUAUUUGUAUAUGGUCACGCGUCAAGACAACAUUAUGCACACUAUGUAUAAUUUAUUGCUUACUCUAACCUUAUAGAGGCUCUAUCUUUUUAGGGUCAGGCCGCACAAGAUAUUUUAGAGACGUCAAUUAAGUGCUAGUAUAUGACUUGCGCUUGCAUAUACAAGUUUGCAGCGCUGCUGUUCGUGAUAUUCUCGGAAGCCGAAAAUAUCUAUAAUAUAAUAUAUAUAUUAUAUUAUAGUAGCUUGUUUAAACCCAUAAAUUUAUAUUGUGGGUUUAAACAAACUACUCAUAGCACAAUAACGACGGCUAGUGUUUCUCCCGGAAGUAACAUAAUUAGUGUGAUUGGCGGCAACAAUGAAAAAUUGUAUUUCUAUAUUAUUAUUACUGCCACUAUGUUUUUCCUCAAUGCCACAUCAUACAUAUAUACAGGGUAGGGUCGUAUGACGCGAUGAAUACCCAACAAAAGUCUACUGGCGAUAAUGAGAACUUGGUUGAGCUCCUAUUUGUUGAAAGUGCAAUAUGAUGUACAACCUACUACAUGCUUUGCAGCAUAAUUGAGGUACGUGAGAAGAACCUAUUACCGUAACCCUAUUUAGUUAGCAACAUUUGGAUUGCGAAAGUAUUAUGCCGGUGCAGAAUGUCAGUGCCGCUCCGAUAUUUAUUUUUGCUCUUACGACUCAUGAAAGGACGCCGCCAGCUGAAGUGAGGAGGGGAAUCAGUCGGCCACCUCAGAUCAUUGUGCGCUUUAUGCUGCCGUUGCGUUUCGGAAUUCUUUUCUCGAUAAUUCGAUUCUACUGGUGGUGUUUAAAGUGUCAUCUGGACCAAUAGUCACUUACUUCAGAAUUGAUGGAAGUAUCGUUAUUUUCGCGGAAGAGUGGUUGAUCCCAUUAUAGAAGUGGCAGUGUGGCUAGAAGGACCUCUCGCUAUUGUGUGUCAACUAUUUGUGAGUCGCCGUCAUCAUUUCACCUCACAACCUCAGAACCAAACAAACACAAAGGCAUGUACAGCCACAUUUAGAGAUAUAAAAUCUUAGUCAAGCUUAUCUAUCUGUAGGGAUAGGGAUAGGAGUCACCUCAGGCUAAUUCAACGUGCAGCAGUGUUUGUAAAUUCAUACCUGACAAAACGCUCCGUAUGCUCUGGGGCGUAGUGUUUUAGUCAUCAUACCUAUAUCUCGUACUAAAAAAUGCAAUGGAAAAAAAAUCAUUUAGCAAAAAUUAUUUCUAUUUGAUAUUGCAGUUGUACUUCUACGCGAAUUAAAAUGCUAGAUUAACUUUUGCAUCAUCACAGCUGGUCCUACGCAAUGUAGACUGUGAAUCCAGCUAGCCAUCUUUUAUGAGAUUUCGCGUAUCACAGCUUAAGAACGAAGACUGUGAAUACGACCAAUUCAACUUUUGCAGUAUCAAUUGUGCUCGCUCAAUAAAAAACCGCGUAGAGCAUCGAGAUUGUUAGACUACCAGAAAAUCCCGUUAAACUUUCCUUAAUGGACUGCCAUAUAGAAAAUGCCAUUUAUGUCAGCGAUCAGUUGUGCGGUAGCAAUCAUCGUUUGGAGCAUCGAGGUUAUUGAACCAUUCGUGUAUCCCGUGGCGUCGGCAAUAUCGCAAGUAUCCAAAAAUCCUACGCUCAUCGAAAUCUGCUUAAAUCAAGGUGAUUUUCCUGGCGGUCAAGGAGAUUAGCCAUUAAACAAUAGAGUCGGAUAGUAAACUCGCAAGCUCCUCUUGGUGGUGAAUGGGCAAAACGUGUGUCUGCCCACAGAAGGUACCAGUUACGCUGUUGACUGUCGUGGGUUUUUGCGUUUGUCUAAAUAGCUGUACAUUGAAUCAUGUACGUAUCGUUUCAAUGUACAUGAAAUCAUGUACAUUGAAAUAAGCAUGGAGAGCAAUAAGGUGCAGUCGAGGUUAACGGCGAAAGGUGGCGAGAUUUCCGAAUAUGAGCAGGACUUGGUCAGCUGCACGUCAUCAAAGUUAGUAGUGUUUCGUUGUGAAUGCUAUUACAAAGUUAGUUUGAAGUUUUUUAAAGCAAUAUCUAUUUGUUUUAUGCUGCAUUCGGCCUUAACCAUGCUGGAAAGUAAAAACAGGAGGAAAUAGCUGCUCUAAGAAGCGCCAAAAUUUCUGUAGCAUUGAAAUCGCAUAGAAGAAGCGGUUAUUUGAUGUGUGUACACCGACGCAGGCUGGCGUUGUUGGGCGAAAUCGGUCAAGUCAAUCUGAAAAGUGUAGAAGAUCCUAACGAAGCGUGGAUUUGACCAAAAAAAAUCUCGCUCAAGAUAACAAUAUACACAUUUAUUGAAUAGGUUCAGUUUCCUGGCACACGACAGUAGCAAAGAGACGCCUACGUGAGGUUUGUUGCGGGCAAUAUAUUUUCCGGCUAGCGGCUACAAAUUAGAAAGAUAUUUGCAAUCUUAUCGUGCUUAACGAAGACAUACUCUUAAAUAAUCGUAGUUAAUAUUUUUAUCGUUCAGGAUUUAAGCCAGCCGUCUAUGAAGUCAGGAGCUUGUAACAUAUUAGCCGGCGCUGCAUUCUUCUCAAGACAUGCGUAGUAGACCCACCGAAUGGCGGUUCCUUUAUAUAACAAGGAACGUGUGGUAGUACAUGUGCCAUGCGAUCGAAAUAGACCAGAAAUUGCACCUUUUAUGGCCUAUGUCUACAAUGCGGACGAAGAAGAUCAAACUCAUAUACUUUAUGAUUUAUAAUAUUAGGUACUCUACAUGUGCAUGUGUAUAGCAUGUCAUAGACUCGACCUUUGAGAUAAUACAGAUGCCACAACGAAACUAUAUGUGGUAGAAAAAAUCGCGAAAAGAAAAAUUACCCAACAGUAUAAUCCAAUGAAAAUGCAGCUGACUGUGUUGAUGAGUGAUUGAAGCUUAGAAAAAAAAAAUGCUAAGACGCUGCCUCAGCAUCAUUGUAUUUAGGAGAAUGACUCUACCGACGAUUGAAGAAUCGGGAGGACUUAGUUGAACUGACCUAUUAUCAAUUACGUCAAUUGAUUUAGUGGGAUUCGGUACGUCGAUUAGUAAAUGUCGAUUAUAUUGGUUAAGCAGUUGGCUUACGGCAAAAGUAGUCGGUUGGUUUAAUUAAAUUUCUCUAGCGAGUUUUAAGAAACUGAAACAAUUGAAAUUGAUAUAAAAAGCGUGAUAAAUCAGUGUCUAAAUAAAGGCCGAAUUUCUAACCACUUUCAACGCCAGUCAGGCCGCUGCGUUUCUGCAAAUGGUACCGAUUAGGGAAUGAUUUUGUAUUAAAGCGCGCCCAAAGAUCAAUCAAACUUCUACAAAUAUAAACAGUUGUCAAAUUCAACAACUGUUGAAUGAAUUUCGGCUAAAUUUAGAGACGUAUAAAAAUUGAUCGGAGAAGUAAGUGACUGCAUAACACUAAAACCAAGAUAGAACGCAUCCUUUGUCCAGUGUCAAUCCUGUAUCAGUUCUAAUUCGUAGUUGAAUGAAAAUAGGUACAGAUAUGGAUGCAAACAGGAUGUGCGCUCACGCUAGUUUACAGAGCAAACAAGGUGACGAAGAAUGCGUUAUAAAUAGACAGACUGAUGCGUGUAUUUUUUCGUGGUAGUGUUUUUCGACCCACUAAUGCUUACGCAACGUACGUCAGCCAUGCAAUCUAGGAAAUUCAUUGUCUUAAAUACAUAGUGCUUUUUCCGUUUUCGCUUGUUUCGUUACGGUACGAACAUAGGUGAUGGUAGACACUUUCUAAUGAUUUCUUCGUUAUCACAGUUUUGUUGAUCUAAUAACUAAGCUAACAAAAAUAAUUGUGAGAACAAUGAAUGCGUGAUAUUAUUUUUUGUCUUUUUUUUACAUUAUUAGAUUGAAAAUUCAGCUAUUUUUUUGUUAUGGAAACUGCCCUGCUACAUAUAAUUUUUAAAAUGGGAGGCUUUUAGAAAACACGUGAUAAAAUUGUUGACGAAAUCGAUACAGUCUGCUACAGAUUAGUGGUACAAUUCAACCACAUAUUGAAUCGUCUGGUAGCGCUGGCUUAAUCUUUGCUCGCUGAAUGAAAGGUUUAAUAAACGUAUUGGGGUUAAAAAAACCAUACGAGGACGUAAUGCAUGUCCUUAGCGUUUGAAAGGGUGCCACCACGCUGUAGGUAAGCGAAUGAAUUUAGUCUACUUUCUGUGGUACUUAUUGUACUACGUGUUGAAUUAUAGUAACAUGGAAUAAUUUAAAAAGAACGGUGUAGGUGAUUCAAGAUAGCGCACAAUUAAUUUGAUGAUAAUAAUGGCCGCAAAUCAAUGAUGACUAAGUCUUUUUCGUAUGCUGCUCUCCAACAAUAACAUUAC